GAAGCGGCAACAGCUCAAAUUUGAAAUCUGGCGCAAGCCCGAGUUGUAAUUUGUAGAGGAUGCUUCAGGGCAGCGGCCGGUCUAAGUUCCUUGGAACAGGACGUCAUAGAGGGUGAGAAUCCCGUAUGCGACCGGUUGGCACCCGUCACGUAGCUCCUUCGACGAGUCGAGUUGUUUGGGAAUGCAGCUCUAAAUGGGAGGUAAAUUUCUUCUAAAGCUAAAUACCGGCCAGAGACCGAUAGCGCACAAGUAGAGUGAUCGAAAGAUGAAAAGCACUUUGGAAAGAGAGUUAAAAAGCACGUGAAAUUGUUGAAAGGGAAGCGCAUGCAACCAGACUUGUCGGCGGUGUUCCGCCGGUCUUCUGACCGGUCUACUCGCCGCCGGCAGGCCAGCAUCAUCUGGGCGCGCCGGACAAAGGCGUGGGGAAUGUGGCUCCUCGGAGUGUUAUAGCCCCGCGCACAAUACGGCGCCGCUCGGGUGAGGUCCGCGCUUCGGCUAGGAUGCUGGCGUAAUGGUUGUUUGCGGCCCGUCUUGAAACACGGACCAAGGAGUCUAACAUCUAUGCGAGUGUUCGGGUGUCAAACCCCUACGCGUAAUGAAAGUGAACGGAGGUGGGAAGCGCAAGCUGCACCAUCGACCGAUCCUGAUGUCUUCGGAUGGAUUUGAGUAAGAGCAUAGCUGUUGGGACCCGAAAGAUGGUGAACUAUGCCUGAAUAGGGUGAAGCCAGAGGAAACUCUGGUGGA
rnacentral:rRNA from 2 species